rnacentral:rRNA from 1 species
AUUAAACGCUGGCGGCAUGCCUUACACAUGCAAGUCGAACGGUAGCGCGGGGCAACCUGGCGACGAGUGGCGAACGGGUGAGUAAAGCAUCGGAACGUGCCCUGGAAUGGGGGAUAACGUAGCGAAAGUUACGCUAAUACCGCAUAUUCUGUGAGCAGGAAAGCAGGGAAUCGCAAGACCUUGCGUUCUGGGAGCGGCCGAUGUCGGAUUAGCUAGUUGGUGGGGUAAAAGCCUACCAAGGCGACGAUCCGUAGCGGGUCUGAGAGGAUGAUCCGCCACACUGGGACUGAGACACGGCCCAGACUCCUACGGGAGGCAGCAGUGGGGAAUUUUGGACAAUGGGCGGAAGCCUGAUCCAGCCAUGCCGCGUGAGUGAAGAAGGCC